GGAGGUAUAGCUCAAGUGGUAGAGUGCAUGAUUGGCAAACAUGAGGUCCUGGGUUCAAUCCCCAGUACUGCCU
rnacentral:tRNA from 1 species